rnacentral:rRNA from 1 species
CAUGCAUCUCUAAACACGUGAAAGCGUGUGACCCUUCGGGGAAUUUGCACAGGUGCUGCAUGGCCGUCGUCAGCUCGUGUCGUGAGAUGUUGGGUUAAGUCCCGCAACGAGCGCAACCCUUGUGAUUAGUUGCCAGCACGUAAUGGUGGGAACUCUAGUCAGACUGCCCAGAUCAACUGGGAGGAAGGUGGGGACGACGUCAGGUCAGUAUGGCCCUUACGCCUUGGGCUGCACACGUACUACAAUGCCCGGCACAAUGAGAACCGAUACCGUGAGGUGGAGGAAAUCUGUAAAACUGGGCUCAGUUCGGAUUGGAGGCUGCAACUCGCCUCCAUGAAGUUGGAAUCGCUAGUAAUGGGGCAUCAUCUACGGCCCCGUGAAUACGUUCCCGGGUCUUGUACACACCGCCCGUC